rnacentral:rRNA from 1 species
AUUGAACGCUGGCGGCAGGCCUAGCCUGCCGCCAGCGGAAACGAAGAUAGCUUGCUAUCAGGCGUCGAGCGGCGGACGGGUGAGUAACGCGUAGGAAUCUACCUAAUAGUGGGGGAUAGCCCAGAGAAAUUUGGAUUAAUACCGCAUACGCCCUACGGGGGAAAGGAGGGGAUCUUCGGACCUUUCGCUAUCAGAUGAGCCUGCGUGAGAUUAGCUAGUUGGUGGGGUAAAGGCUCACCAAGGCGACGAUCUCUAGCUGGUCUGAGAGGAUGAUCAGCCACACUGGGACUGAGACACGGCCCAGACUCCUACGGGAGGCAGCAGUGGGGAAUAUUGGACAAUGGGCGCAAGCCUGAUCCAGCCAUGCCGCGUGUGUGAAGAAGGCCUUUGGGUUGUAAAGCACUUUCAGCGAGGAGGAAAGGUUGCCGCUUAAUACGCGGUAGCUGUGACGUUACUCGCAGAAGAAGGACCGGCUAACUCCGUGCCAGCAGCCGCGGUAAUACGGAGGGUCCAAGCGUUAAUCAGAAUUACUGGGCGUAAAGCGUGCGUAGGCGGUUUGUUAAGUGGAAUGUGAAAGCCCCGGGUUUAACCUGGGAAUUGCAUCCCAAACUGGCAAACUAGAGUGCGGAAGAGGAGUGUGGAAUUUCCUGUGUAGCGGUGAAAUGCGUAGAUAUAGGAAGGAACACCAGUGGCGAAGGCGACACUCUGGUCUGACACUGACGCUGAGGUAUGAAAGCGUGGGGAGUAAACAGGAUUAGAUAUCCUGGUAGUCCACGCCGUAAACGAUGUCAAUUAGCCGUUGGGUUUUUUGAGGACUUAGUGGCGCAGCUAACGCAAUAAGUUGAUUGCCUGGGGAGUACGGUCGCAAGAUUAAAACUCAAAUGAAUUGACGGGGGCCCGCACAAGCGGUGGAGCAUGUGGUUUAAUUCGAAGCAACGCGAAGAACCUUACCUACUCUUGACAUCCUGCGAAUUCGCUAGAGAUAGCUUAGUGCCUUCGGGAACGCAGUGACAGGUGCUGCAUGGCUGUCGUCAGCUCGUGUUGUGAAAUGUUGGGUUAAGUCCCGUAACGAGCGCAACCCUUAUCCUUAUUUGCCAGCACUUCGGGUGGGAACUCUAAGGAGACUGCCGGUGACAAACCGGAGGAAGGUGGGGACGACGUCAAGUCAUCAUGGCCCUUACGACCUGGGCUACACACGUGCUACAAUGGCCGGUACAAAGGGCUGCAAAACCGCGAGGUUGAGCUAAUCCCAGAAAACCGGUCGUAGUCCGGAUUGGAGUCUGCAACUCGACUCCAUGAAGUCGGAAUCGCUAGUAAUCGUGAAUCAGAAUGUCACGGUGAAUACGUUCCCGGGCCUUGUACACACCGCCCGUCACACCAUGGGAGUGGGUUGCUCCAGAAGUGGCUAGUCUAACCUUCGGGAGGACGGUCACCACGGAGUGAUUCAUGACUGGGGUGAAG